rnacentral:rRNA from 1 species
ACGGAAGGCAGCAGUGGGGAAUAUUGCACAAUGGGGGAAACCCUGAUGCAGCGACGCCGCGUGAGCGAAGAAGUAUUUCGGUAUGUAAAGCUCUAUCAGCAGGGAAGAAAAUGACGGUACCUGACUAAGAAGCUCCGGCUAAAUACGUGCCAGCAGCCGCGGUAAUACGUAUGGAGCAAGCGUUAUCCGGAUUUACUGGGUGUAAAGGGAGCGUAGACGGAACAGCAAGUCUGAUGUGAAAGGCAGGGGCUCAACUCCUGGACUGCAUUGGAAACUGCUGAUCUUGAGUGUCGGAGAGGUAAGCGGAAUUCCUAGUGUAGCGGUGAAAUGCGUAGAUAUUAGGAGGAACACCAGUGGCGAAGGCGGCUUACUGGACGAUCACUGACGUUGAGGCUCGAAAGCGUGGGGAGCAAACAGGAUUAGAUACCCUGGUA